rnacentral:rRNA from 1 species
GAUGAACGCUAGCUACAGGCUUAACACAUGCAAGUCGAGGGGAAACGGCAUUGAGUGCUUGCACUCUUUGGACGUCGACCGGCGCACGGGUGAGUAACGCGUAUCCAACCUUCCCAUUACUGUGUGAUAACCUGCCGAAAGGCAGACUAAUACCGCAUAGUCUUCGAUGACGGCAUCAGAUUUGAAGUAAAGAUUUAUCGGUAAUGGAUGGGGCUGCGUCUGAUUAGCUUGUUGGCGGGGUAACGGCCCACCAAGGCUACGAUCAGUAGGGGUUCUGAGAGGAAGGUCCCCCACAUUGGAACUGGGACACGGUCCAAACUCCUACGGGAGACAGCAGUGAGGAAUAUUGGUCAAUGGACGGAAGUCUGAACCAGCCAAGUAGCGUGCAGGAUGACGGCCCUAUGGGUUGUAAACUGCUUUUGUAUGGGGAUAAAGUUAGGGACGUGUCCCUAUUUGCAGGUACCAUACGAAUAAGGACCGGCUAAUUCCGUG